rnacentral:rRNA from 1 species
ACGACUACAUAUCAGGCAUAUCAAUAAGCGGAGGAAAAGAAACUAACUAGGAUUCCCUUAGUAACGGCGAGUGAAGCGGGAAGAGCUCAAAUUUGAAAUCUUCAAGGUUCUACCUUGACGAAUUGUAGUUUAUAAGAAGUGUUUUCUGUUAGUGGAGUUGGCUAAAAGUUCUUUGGAAUAGGACAUCAUAGAGGGUGAGAAUCCCGUAUUUGGAUCCAUUCCUCCUAGCUGUUGUGAUACACUUUCAACGAGUCGGAUUGUUUGGGAAUGCAGUCCAAAAUGGGUGGUAAAUUUCAUCUAAAGCUAAAUAUUGGCGAGAGACCGAUAGCGAACAAGUACCGUGAGGGAAAGAUGAAAAGAACUUUGAAAAGAGAGUUAAACAGUACGUGAAAUUGUCAAAAGGGAAGCGUUUGACACCAGUGUUGUUUUCUCGAAAAUCAAUUAAAAAUGGCCGGAUUUUGUGUUGUAUUGACUUUAUCAGCUUUCUGCACUUUUUUCUUGUCUUUUUUAAUGCACUUUUCGUUUAACAAGUCAACAUCAAUUUCUUUUGUUGUAAAAGAGUCAUUGGAAGGUGGCUUUCACUUUCGGUGAAAGUGUUUAUAGCCUUUGACUCCUGCAAUCGGAGAGACUGAGGUCUGCAGCGUAGAUCCUUCGGGAUUAGAUUCAUUUGUGCUAAGUUAUAGCUUUUCAUAGACAACUUGUUGACUAUGUUUAGUCAUGUAGCUUACUCGCUUAUGUAUUUUACCUACGCUUAGGAUGUUGAUCUCUCACAGUCGAGC